AUUGAACGCUGGCGGAAUGCUUUACACAUGCAAGUCGAACGGCAGCACGGGGCAACCUGGGUGGCGAGUGGCGAACGGGUGAGUAAUACAUCGGAACGUGCCCAAUCGUGGGGGGAUAACGUAGCGAAAGUUACGCUAAUACCGCAUACGAUCUACGGAUGAAAGCGGGGGAGUCGCAAGACCUCGCGCGAUUGGAGCGGCCGAUGUCAGAUUAGGUAGUUGGUGGGGUAAAGGCUCACCAAGCCGACGAUCUGUAGCUGGUCUGAGAGGACGACCAGCCACACUGGGACUGAGACACGGCCCAGACUCCUACGGGAGGCAGCAGUGGGGAAUUUUGGACAAUGGGCGGCAAGCCUGAUCCAGCCAUUCCGCGUGCAGGAUGAAGGCCUUC
rnacentral:rRNA from 1 species